UACGGAGGGAGCUAGCGUUAUUCGGAAUUACUGGGCGUAAAGCGCACGUAGGCGGCUUUGUAAGUUAGAGGUGAAAGCCUGGGGCUCAACUCCAGAAUUGCCUUUGAAACGGGAUUGCUUGAGUCCGAGAGAGGAUGGCGGAAUUCCUAGUGUAGAGGUGAAAUUCGUAGAUAUUAGGAAGAACACCGGUGGCGAAGGCGGCCAUCUGGCUCGGUACUGACGCUCAGGCGCGAAAGCGUGGGGAGCAAACAGG
rnacentral:rRNA from 1 species